AAACCUCUGCCCAGCAGAACGACCCGCGAACACGUCUCCACCCACGCGACGCCGGGCGAUCGGGGGUCCCCGGGCCCCCGCCCGCCCCGUCCGCCGCGGGGGCGACCGCCCGCCGGUCCUCCCGCGGCGCGAACAACCAAAACCCCGGCGCAAGUCGCGCCAAGGAAAUCAAAAAGCGAAGGGCGUCGCCCCGUCGCCCCGGGAACGGUGCGCGCGCGGGGCGUCGCGUCUCCACGAUGAGAAUCCAAAACGACUCUCGGCAACGGAUAUCUCGGCUCUCGCAUCGAUGAAGAACGUAGCGAAAUGCGAUACUUGGUGUGAAUUGCAGAAUCCCGCGAACCAUCGAGUCUUUGAACGCAAGUUGCGCCCGAAGCCUUCUGGCCGAGGGCACGCCUGCCUGGGUGUCACACGACAUUGCCCACCCCACCCCCGAACGCUCGGGGGGCACGGCCGGUGGCGGAAGAUGGCCUCCCGGGAGCGCGGUCUCGCGGUUGGCCCAAAAGCCAGGUCCCCGGCGACGUUCGCCUCGGCAACGGUGGUUGAGAGAACCCUCGCACGGCGCCGCGCGGCGCGUCGUCGCUCCGGACCCGGAGGAACCCGACCCUUUCUCGCAACGCGACCCCAGGUCAGGCGAGACCACCCGCUGAGUUUAAGCAUAUC
rnacentral:rRNA from 1 species